CCCUUAGAUGUCCGGGGCUGCACGCGCGCUACACUGAAGGAAUCAGCGUGCUAAAACCAUUGUCGAAAGGCAUUGGUAAACCCAUUAAAAUCCUACGUGAUUGGGAUCGGGAAUUGCAAUUAUUCCCCUUGAACGAGGAAUUCCCAGUAAGUGUGGGUCAUAAGCUCGCGUUGAUUACGUCCCUGCCCUUUGUACACACCGCCCGUCGCUGCCCGGGACUGAGCCGUUUCGAGAAAAGCGGGGACUGCUGCUGUCGGGGCUUUCGGGCCUUGGCUUCGGUGGAAACCGCUUUAAUCGCAGUGGCUUGAACCGGGCAAAANUCGUANCA
rnacentral:rRNA from 1 species